UGCCAGCUUGAUACAGCUAGAGUUAUCUGA
rnacentral:piRNA from 1 species